ensembl:misc_RNA Metazoa_SRP Metazoan signal recognition particle RNA
GCCGGGUGCAGUGGCGCUCGCCUGUGAUCCAAGUUACCGGGAGGCUGAGGCUGGUGGAUCGCUUGAGCUCAGGAGCUCUGGGCUGCAGCGCGCUAUGCCGAUCGGGUGUCCGCACUAAGUUCGGUAUGGACAUGGUGCUCCUGGGGGAGCCCGGGAUCACCAGGUCGUCUAAGGAAGGGUGCACCGAUCCAGGUCGGAAACGGAGCAGGUCAAAGCCCCCGUGCCGCUCAGU